GACGAGCUCUCCAAACGUUAUUCGGAUUUACUGGGCGUAAAGGGCGCGUAGGCGGCGUGGUAAGACACUUGUGAAAUCUCUGAGCUCAACUCAGAACGGUCAAGUGAUACUGCUAUGCUAGAGUGUAGGAAGGGCAAUCGGAAUUCUUGGUGUAGCGGUGAAAUGCGUAGAUAUCAAGAGGAAUAUCAGAGGCGAAGGCGGGUUGCUAGACUAACACUGACGCUGAGGCGCGAAAGCUAGGGUAGCAAACGGG
rnacentral:rRNA from 1 species